rnacentral:lncRNA from 1 species
CAACAGUCUGGGCAUCUCAUUCUAGGCCAUGAAAACAAACACAUUCCUCAGCUUAAUCCUGCUGCCAGCCCAUCUGUCUCAGCCCCUCAUGUAAGAAAUGAUAUACAGUCUUCAAGUCCCUGCUCAGAGCUGUGGGGAAGCAUUCAUUAAUUCUCAAAAGGCAUGAAGGUGCUUGCUGCCCACCUUCCAUGGUGGAGCAAUUCUGGAAGCCAGGAAUCAUACUUGGGAUGGAAAACUGCUCCGAAGAAGGGCUUCUGCGUCAAGUAAAGAUAUCUUACAGUGAUCACGCAAUGGGACUUCGUCUCUGUGUACUUGAGCAUAUGGGAAAAAAGUGCAUGAAGAGAGAAGAGAAAUGAAGAGCUAUAUGAAGACUGCUGGUUCCAGCAGCAAUCUUGCCUGUGAGAAGAGAGAGAAAUGGG